UCGAGCUGACUGCGAGGAUUUCUCAGACGAAAGAAACUGUGAAAAUUAUUAUUGUUCCUAUGAGACGGCGCAUGGAUUUUUGUGGAACAGGACUCAGUUGGGUCAACAAGUUCUAAAGGAAUGCUCAUUGGUUAACCCCACUUGGACAGGACUAUUUGGAAGCAAAUGCAGCCAAUAUCACACUCGAACAGUCUGGGAUCACAAGCACAUUUGCAACUGCGAAAACAGAACCUUGUUGGAAUACUUCAAAAAGAAUAACGCUAAAGUGAACUCCAGCAACUUUUUCAAUGUCUCGGAAGACUUGGCCAUUUCAGGAAAAGCCAAGGAAUUCUCUAAUCCAAGAAUUUUCCAGCAUUUGAACGAAGAGUUG